GCAUUAAUGGGGUAGUGGUAACCUGGGUCGUUGCCAUAAGUUUCCUCUAUGGAGUCUCGACCCGCCGGGGGUUCGAUUCCCUCUUAAUGCA
rnacentral:tRNA from 1 species